UUGCAGGUGCCUGAUACCAGAGUACAUCUGAUAAUUGAAGUCUGGUAAGGGGUUUGCUGACUUCACUUCCCUUGUGGGCUGAAGCUAGCGCCUGGAAACAUCUUUCCGAAGAUGGCACAUAUUCUGAUAAUUGGAACAUCAGGCAGAUUCUUACAUAGGAUGAUGGGCCAUGAUGCAUCCAUGUGAUGCGGCGGCAGAAAAAAACAAAAGGUGAUAGGGAAAUGGAACCAAAGGAGGCUUGUGAGUAAAAGAAGCUCACCAUAAUGAUGGGGCUCCUGAUCCUUCUCUUGUCCGAUGCAGGCAGCAGCAGUUGGUGGUUAUCCCCAUCUGUGACUCGGAUUUCCUUGGUGCAAAGGCAAAGCGUGCAUGAGAGGUUUUCAAAGGGCAGAUGAUGACUGGACUGGAGGUUUCUUUCUCGUCUUAUCUCUGAAACGCGGAUUGCUGGGAGCCUCAAAUCCGUUCUCCUGCUAUCCUGGGCACAGUGGAAGCACUAAGGCACGGGAACAGCAACAGCUUAACCAACAGCACAGCCUAGCUGCUCGUUAACUGACUGGGUGUCUGUUCCUCUUUAGCUGAUGGGUUCGCUUCUAGUCCGGCUCGCUCUUAGCAGCAGCCAGUUGCCGGCCUGGCGUCCAUGGUGAUUACUGCUGUGGGCUUCUUUCUUAUAAUCAAGUGAACUUGGUUGUAAGAAGCAGGUAAUUCAAGUUGGAAAUAACCGAACUAUAACAUCUCACAUUUAACUGCAAUAUAAGUAUAUAACAUGAUUGCAUGAGUAUAAAUAUAACAAUUUCAAGUCCAUUCCACACAACUACACACAGCAUGCAUGACAAAUUGAUUAAUGACAAUAGGUUCAAGUAUUCAGUGCUGGAUAGUUAUAAUUUUGAGAAAACUACCAAUCUUAAUGAGUUAUUGACUGUGCAAUGGGCCAGGGAGAUAGCUUGGGUUCUAGAGAUUCUAUGAAAGCGCUAAUUUUUUACCGGAUUAUUAAAUGGUAAUUACCAUAUAACAAUAUGGUUUACCGAUGAAGCACUCGGUAAACAACCAAACCAUUUCUGUAUUUUAUACUAUUUCUGUCUACCGUUUCCCUUCGUUAGCGUUUUCUGAUUGGCUCGGUCGAUAAAUGUCGAAAACUGGAGCCGGUCCAUCAGUAAU